GUUACCAUGAGUGUUAAGGAGCUGUUGCAGAGGUGCUGGUGGGAGCGAGGUACUAUCCCUAGGCAUAAUCCUGAGCCUGAGACUUCAGUAAGGGGUCUCUGCUGCUGCAAUGAAGCAUCAUGACAAAAAAUCAAGUUGGAGAGAAAGGGCUUUACUCGGCUUACACUUCCAUGUUGCUGCUCAUCACUAAAGGAAGUCAAGAUAGGAACUCAAACAGAGAAGGAACCUGGAAGCAGGAGGUGAUGUAGAGGCCAUGGAGAGGUACUGUUUACUGGCUUGCUUCCCUGGCUUGCCCAGUCUGCUUUCUUAUCAAACCCAGGACCACCAGCCCAGGAAUGGCACCAACCACCUUGGGAUGGACGCUUCCCCAUUGAUCACUAAUUGAAAAAUACCUUACAGCUGAAUGUUGUGGAGGCAUUUCCUCAACUAAAGCUCCUUCUUCUCCAAUGACACUAGCUUGUAUCAAGUUGGCACAUAAAUCCAGCCAGUACAGCAUCAUAGAUCAAUAAGACUGUUGGUUGCUUGGAAGCUUGCAUAGUGCCUUCUGGUACCAUGAAAGCUAGUCCUUGGGGAGGAGGCAUUCAGGCCAGUUCCAGUUCAUGAGGCUCUGGGCCUUGUGUCUGAAGUUCAUGGUAUCUUCAACAAAAGGAACUUAUCUUCCACCUUUUGAAGACAAUCAAGAGUAAUAGCAAUAUCAUGUAAUAUUUUGGGAAUCUCUUGGACAACCAUGACCAACAACUCUAAACACAGCUUCUCAUGCCUGGUGUUGGGACUUUUGUUAGGUGAUCUUUGGCUCUUGGAGAGAGCAUUGUCAGCCCAGAUGAGAAGAUUUCAUUUAAACUGUAUGUGUUUAUUUACAUACAAAAUUAUGUGUAUUGUAGGUUUUUAGAUAGAUAGUUAAUAGUAUGAUUCCUUAAGAUGUUUUCAAAUAUCCUUAAUGUUAUUUUAUUCCCUCUUUCUGCAUUUAUCUCUGUGGCACGAUAAAUAAAAGACCCAGAGACUGAGAUUGGAGUUCGAGCUUCAAGCUGAAGAUCAGAGAAGCAAAGAAGCCGGUCACUAGCUCUUACCUCUACCUCAGCUCAAAGGGGUGAUCCUCAAACUGCUCCCAACUUCACUCCUCCUCAGAUUCACUCAGACUGCUAUGCUCUCCUCAAAGUGACUAGAGACUAACUCUCAGACUGCAUGCCUUCCUAUCCUUAGUGUGGCUGGACAAUGAAUCUUGAGACUGACUACUGAAGACCCUGACCCUAUCUUUUAUACCUCUCUAAUGCCGGGAUUAAAUGUGUGAACUCUGUUACUAUUUUAGCCUGAUUCAAUCUCGUGUAGACCUGGGAGGCUUUGAACUCAGAGAGAUUCAUCUGCCUUUGUGUUCUGAGUCCCGGGAUUAAAGGUGUGUACCUGUC